UGGGGAAUAUUGGACAAUGGGCGCAAGCCUGAUCCAGCCAUGCCGCGUGAGUGAUGAAGGCCCUAGGGUUGUAAAGCUCUCUCACCGGUGAAGAUAAUGACGGUAACCGGAGAAGAAGCCCCGGCUAACUUCGUGCCAGCAGCCGCGGUAAUACGAAGGGGGCUAGCGUUGUUCGGAUUUACUGGGCGUAAAGCGCACGUAGGCGGACUUUUAAGUCAGGGGUGAAAUCCCGGGGCUCAACCCCGGAACUGCCUUUGAUACUGGAAGUCUUGAGUAUGGUAGAGGUGAGUGGGAAUCCGGGUGUAGAGGUGAAAAUCGUAGAUAUUCGGAGGAACACCAGUGGCGAAGGCGGCUCACUGGACCAUUACUGACGCUGAGGUGCGAAAGCGUGGGGAGCAAACAGG
rnacentral:rRNA from 1 species